rnacentral:tRNA from 1 species
UUCAGAAUAGCUUAAAAAAAGCAUUGAUUUUGUAAUUCAAAGAUUGGACGUUGCCCUUCUGAAU